CGGCGGACGGGUGAGUAAUGCCUAGGAAUCUGCCAGGUAGUGGGGGACAACGUUUCGAAAGGAACGCUAAUACCGCAUACGUCCUACGGGAGAAAGCAGGGGACCUUCGGGCCUUGCGCUAUCAGAUGAGCCUAGGUCGGAUUAGCUAGUUGGUGAGGUAAUGGCUCACCAAGGCGACGAUCCGUAACUGGUCUGAGAGGAUGAUCAGUCACACUGGAACUGAGACACGGUCCAGACUCCUACGGGAGGCAGCAGGU
rnacentral:rRNA from 1 species